GGGCCGUAGCUCAGUUGGAAGAGCGCCGCCUUUGCACGGCGGAGGUCGGGGGUUCGAAUCCCCUCGGGUCCA
rnacentral:tRNA from 1 species